AUUGAACGCUGGCGGCAUGCCUUACACAUGCAAGUCGAACGGCAGCACGGGUGCUUGCACCUGGUGGCGAGUGGCGAACGGGUGAGUAAUAUAGCGGAACGUACCUUAUUGUGGGGGAUAACGCAGCGAAAGCUGUGCUAAUACCGCAUAAUCCCUAAGGGGGAAAGCGGGGGACCGUAAGGCCUCGCGCAAUUAGAGCGGCCGAUACCUGAUUAGCUAGUUGGUGAGGUAAAGGCUCACCAAGGCAACGAUCAGUAGCUGGUCUGAGAGGACGAUCAGCCACACUGGGACUGAGACACGGCACAGACUCCUACGGGAGGCAGCAGUGGGGAAUUUUGGACAAUGGGGGCAACCCUGAUCCAGCAAUGCCGCGUGAGUGAAGAAGGCCUUCGGGUUGUAAAGCUCUUUUGUCAGGGAAGAAACAGCAGCUCUAACACAGUUUGCGAAUGACGGUACCUGAAGAAUAAGCACCGGCUAACUACGUGCCAGCAGCCGCGGUAA
rnacentral:rRNA from 1 species